GGGAGGCGGCUUCUGAACAGAAGGAAGCACCAGCUCAAGCGACUGGAGAGCCGGCCACCGAGCUGAACAACCACUGGAGGCCCAGGAGGGGAGGAGAGUGUACACAGGCUAAGUGGUCCCACUCCAGGACAAGUGGCCUCCAAGUCGGCCGGUGUUUACCUGUUUACUUUCUAGGUAGCACAAACACGAGUGCCUUUUUCUGCGCUCUGGAGCAAGGGGCCAUUCACCUGCGACCUGCUUUCUGCCUUUCUCAUUUCCACCCGGUGGCUUUCACGCCCCCUGUUGGGGGUGUGAAUUCUAAAUUCUAGCAAACAAGCCAAGGAAGAAAGGCAGUUUAGGAAAGGCCAAACAGAGGCUUUGGAGCUUCGACAGGAGCUUUGUCCGUGUACUUAUGAAUGAGCUCAGUAUGAGGCUGAGUUCUCAGGCCCUGCACAUCCCAUCUCAGAUAACAACCUUCACGUGGAUUAGUUUAUUGUCUGGUUAGUGCCAAGGUGCAAGCGUUUGUCUUCCUUCACUCCGAAACAAAGCGGCGCACCUUCCUGCUCCAGUGAGGAUUAACGGCGCCCACACAAAGGUUUUGUCGGAGGAGGGAGGUUUAUUUUAUCUCAGGUUUGGAGGCAGAGACUGGUACGCACUCGAAAUAGACUGCAUAGACAAUGGCUUCCAUUCUGAUUCCCAGGAGCAAUGAUGAUGAUGAUGAUGAUGAUAAUAAUAAUAACAAUAAUAAUAAUAAAAGAUACCGUUCAAAACAGA